CACAGGCAGGCCUUAGCAAAACUAUUGUUUCACAGCAUAAAUAGUUAAAUGCACUUCGUACAAUUUGUAUCUGGCAUUGAUUCUUCCUGAGUGCUAAACUUUGUUACAUAGAGAAAGGAGUGGAUGCCUCCAAGGACCAUCAAAAUGUUGUAACCAUAGAUGUCCACGCUGCCUAAUAUCUGCUCAAUUCAUCUGGUCAUCGUUAUCUCGAUGUAAGGCAUGCAACAGUGAAACGAGCCUCCGUUGAUCUGCUUGAUUCAGGAUUUAAGAAUAUUGUUAACAUGGGGGGGAGGCUACCCUGCGUGGGUGGAUGCUGGAUUUGCCGGAAACAAGCCAGGAGAAGAGCUUAAAACUAGUUGCAUGUUCCGUCCUAGUAUCACUGCUCUGCCGUAGCGUAGCAUCUUACUGGCUGUUCUUUCCUUCUCCAAUUUUAUGAAUAAAGAGCCCAAUGUGAUUUUAAUAAGAGAAUGUUGAAACAGUUUGUAACUUUCUUUGUAUAAUCAAGGGGUCUAGUUCAAUUGGUUGUGCACAAUGCGUGAGUUAUUAUAAAUUCUUGUAUCUAUUUAUCUUUAACUCCUACGGAUAAGAAAAAUUUCCUUUGUAUAAAAUAAAAAUCGGUACUUAUGAUGGAGA